AGUCCUAGAGAUACAGAGAUUCGCGCCAACUACGUUUCCCAAAUUCCAACAAACUGAAACUCUCUCUCGCUCUCUUCUUCUUCUUCUUCUUCUUACUACUACUACUACUACUAUCUAUAUAUCUAGGGUUUGGAGGUGCAAUCAGUGAUAUCAUUCACCAAGAAAACGAUGAAGAUGGACUCGACGAUGAGAUUGUUCUGUAUUUCUGUUGUGGUGUUAGUCUUUUGUGUCUGUUCACUACCAAGAUCGGCCGCAGAGACCGAGGCUUGCCGAAAGGUUUACCGCGAAGGCGGUGCAAUGGCGGUGAUUCGUUCUCCAGAAUGUCCUCGCUGGGGUCACUCACUCUCAUGGGGACGUUUGACUGACUCAACUACGGUGCAUUGCUCAGAAGCUAUUCUCGAUGCUCUUGGGCGAGAUUUCACUCACAAUCACUUCUUUUGCGACGUUGAUAUUAGGUUUCCUCUUCGCCGUCUCCACAAAGAAGCUACAUUGGGUAUUGUUGCUAUUUUUGAUGGCUAUUAUAGCAAUGAAGCAAGUGAGACGGCAUGGAAGUAUAUUGAGGAAUACUUCUUCCUACACACGUAUUUUCUAUUUGAUAGGCUGGAGGGUGAUAAUUUUGAUGGUUCCUACGUUAAAAUGUUAAAGGAAGCAUUGGUAAGAGCGAUCCACGAUAUUAAGAAUAGGUAUACAGCAACCAUCAUAGUUAUGGUAGACGAUCACCUAUUCCUAUCCAGCCUGGAUGGAAGUGCUGAGGUUGCUACCGGUAGCUACAGUCGUUGGAUGGCUGCUUCUCAAUCUCAAUCUCAAUCUAUGUGUGAAGUAUCUUCUAGAAGGUUAGAUGGUGAUGGAUGGGGCUAUUCACUGAAGAACCUUAUCUAAAACAUAUCAGGCACAAAAAGUAAGCCAGAAAGAUGUUAAAGAUGAUUAGCUGACCUGCAGCAGGCUCCACGGUAUGGCCUGUCUCAAUGCCAAUGUAAACUUGCAACUUCUGAUGGAGAUGAAAAUAUGUGCAAGAUUGGAAUGGGGCUGCGUGAUUCUAUUCCCGCCCUUAAUGUUUGUUCAACAUCUUUUGCAGAUUUUCGUUAUAAGAUACCUGCUUCCAGAUACAUGUUGAAGAGAAGAUUAGGCCAGGGAGGUUUCGGUGAGACCUGGUUGACUUCCUACUUAAAUUGUUCCAUGGGGGAAAAUGCUGUGGUUUCGAUGCAUGAAGAUCAAGAAGUUACCUUAAACAGUUUUUGCCUCGACCCUUGGAACUUGCAUUCAGAUUAUUCUUCAUCCACUAAUGAUUGCCACUCUUCUUCUUCUUAUGGUGAUUCAUUCAUCAUAAAACGUGUCAUGGUGGAGAGAGGAAGUGUUGUCUACUUGAGUGGGCUGAGAGAGAAGUAUUUUGGAGAAGUCUUCCUGAAUGCCUCUCUUCAUGACGGAGAAAGUGUCGAGCAUGUAGCGCGGUACAUACAGUCUCUUGAUUGUGGAGUCAAGGGAAUGUGGCUAGUUUUCCUACCUGAAGGGGUUUCGUUUUGGAAGCUCUUGUAUACGAUGGAGGCAGUAAAAGCCACUGUUGAAGAAAGCAAAGUAUUCAACAAUGCCAAGGUGCUCCAGCGUUCAUCAUACUGGUAUUGGUUGAAAACAACUGAACAAGGGAGAGUGUAGAUGCACAGCAUUAUAAGGCAACUGUUGAUAGCACUCAAAUUUUGUCAUGAUCGUAGCAUCAUCAAUAGGGACAUUAAACCUGG